GACGAACGCUGGCGGCGUGCUUAACACAUGCAAGUCGAGCGGUAAGGCCCUUUCGGGGGUACACGAGCGGCGAACGGGUGAGUAACACGUGGGUGACCUGCCCUCAGCUCUGGGAUAAGCCUGGGAAACCGGGUCUAAUACCGGAUAUGACUCCAUGACGCAUGUUGUGGGGUGGAAAGCCUUGUGCGGCUGAGGAUGGGCCCGCGGCCUAUCAGCUUGUUGGUGGGGUGAUGGCCUACCAAGGCGACGACGGGUAGCCGGCCUGAGAGGGCGACCGGCCACACUGGGACUGAGACACGGCCCAGACUCCUACGGGAGGCAGCAGGUGGGGAAUCUUGCG
rnacentral:rRNA from 1 species